AAUAAAUUAGUUAUGACAUAUAUUUCAAGAAAUUUUAUAUCUAGUUUUUUUUGAAAUUAAAUUUAUUUAAUAUAUUAUUUUAAAGUUAAUAGGGGUUAGCUUAUUAAAAAAAUAUGUAAGAUAGAGUUGUUUUACUUUGGUGAAUUUGAAAUUGUUUAUUUUUAUGAUUUUAUAAUAGAAAGUAAUGGUAAUAGGAUUUUUAAUAUAUUAUUUUUUUAAAAAAAUAAAACGAUAAUAAGAAAAUUUUUUAAAUAAUGAAAUAAUUAGUAAAAAUUUAUGUUUAAUUUAAAGUAAAUAAUAAAAUUUAUAUUUAGUAUUAGAUUAUGAGAAAUGAAUUAGGCAAAAUUAUUUUUUUGACUGUUUAGCAAAAACAUUGUUUCAUGAAAUAAAAUAAAUAUGAAAUAAUGUCUGUCCACUGAGGUUUGAAGGACUGCAGUAUAUUAACUGUAUAAAAGUAGCGUAAUCAUUAGCUUUUUAAUUUGAAGUUGGUAUGAAGGUGAAACGGAUGAAUUCUUUAUUUUUUAUAAGUUUUGAAAUUAAUUGUUGAGUGAAAAAUCUUAGCUUAGAAAGAGGGACAAGAAGACCCUAAUAAGUUUUAUUUUUUUGUUUUUUAAAUUAUGGGUGUUUAAUUAGGUAAUAAUAGUAAAGGGAUUUGAUUGGGGCGAUUUGUUUAAUAACAGUAUAAAUUUAUAAUUUUU
rnacentral:rRNA from 1 species